CACAAGCAAUCUGAAAACUUUCUUAUGCCGAACGAAGAAAUUUUUCGCCAUGUCUUUCACAGGUUUUUAAAAAUCGAGUUGUGCUUUAGAUUCAACAAUUUGGAUUGAUCUAAUUUCUUUGAGCUGAAGAUCAUCGUUACCUGACCAGUAAAAACAACCCUAGUGCAUAAAUCAAUAAAUUUAACACCGCCUACAAUUAUUGUCUUCGACUUUUUGCCAACCCCCACUCAUGGAGAUGCUUUUAAAAAAAAUUGAAAAUACUUUUUGAUGUUAAUUUAUUCUUUUGUUCAAAGAACUUUGUUUACCAUUUAUUGUUAGAUACCAUAACAUAGCAAUGCAAUCAACUUAAAUUUUCAAACUUAACAAAAAGCUAGAAAGCAUACCAUGCAGAAUCAUGUAACGAUGAAGUUCUAAAAGGACACAAAAGAAUUAAUUUGUUAAAUGCUGUUAGUUUAUACAAUGAAUUAGUAUGUCUGCUUAUACAUGCAUGCAAAUAUUUUAAAAAAUUAUGUCCUUGAAUUAAAAGUAGAAACUAAAAAGAAUUAUUCUUAAAUAUUUUCAGUUUUGAAAAUAAAAUCAUUUGAGGUUACAGCUCUUUUCUUAUAACAACAGGGAAUAUCUGCGAACAGCAGCAUGCUUGACUGAUCAGCACAAGAUAGCCAUGACUGUAUUUCCUGAGGAGAAAAAGAAGACAGGAUUGGAAAAUCACUUGGCAAGAAUGACGUAAAAUCAUCAGCAGGACAUUCCCACGCAGGAGGAUCUCGACAAGAAAAGUCGCCAAAUGUCACCAUCUGGAGACAAUAUCUUCUUCCUCUUUACAAUGGAAUUUAAGAAAUGCAUUUCUUCCUUUCUUAUGUUGGGUAGAAAUGGAAAAUAAA